rnacentral:rRNA from 1 species
UACGUAGGAGGCGAGCGUUGUCCGGAAUUACUGGGCGUAGAGAGCGCGUAGGCGGCCGCUUACGACGCGUGUGAAAGCCCCCGGCUCAACUGGGGAGGGUCACGCGUAACGGGGUGGCUGUGGAGUGCAGGAGAGGGAAGUGGAACUCCGGGAGUAGCGGUGAAAUGCGUAGAGACCCGGAGGAACACCAGCGGCGGAGGCGGCUUCCUGGCCUGCAACUGACGCUGUGGCGCGAAAGCUAGGGG